GGGAAAUUUUCUCUCAGAGUUAAUAUUUCACCUUUAACCAGAGUGAUAUUUCUACACCUAAGACCAUUAAAGAUCCCUGACACUGUAUUUGAGAAAAGGGAUGUCUGUGUCAGAAUGUUCACUGUGAUCCUGGCAUUCUGUCUGAAUGCAUCCUGACAAAAUUGUGGGUCAUUUCCUGGAGCUGGUCUAUGUAGCCACGAAAGAUGCUUUUAAAUGUUUACCAUCCUUUGCAUCUGUGAUUAUGCAACAUGCUUGUCUGAGGAAGAAUUUUAAAUGAGCCUUUAGUUGUUUAGGAUGCACAGUGUGACCUAAAAAACUCUUCCACACUUGUCUCCUCCCCACAUCACAAAUUUCUGUGUCUCUACAUGGUGGCCUGGAUGGAGGAGGUGUGCACGUUGAUCCAGGAAGGAGAAGAUGAAGUUGAGUAGCUUGUGCAGAAAAAUGACCAAGAGUGGGGUGCAGAGCUGGGGUAGUGGUGAAACAACGCCUUCCUUUCUUAUCCAGAAAUAAUAAAUGGUCCCGCUGCAUGGUUUGAAACAGAAUGCCUACUAGAAGAAAUCUCUCUUUUAUUCUUUUAAGUGGCAUCUGAUCCAGGGAAGCUGACCUAUGGACAAAGCCAAGAGGCAGAGGAGGCAGAGUGCCGAGAUUCACUGAGAAAUGGAGGUAAAUUCAUCGAUAGAGGGGACCACCCAAACUCUCCUACCUAGUGCUUCUAACUCAAUCUGUGUCCCUGCCUCUCUGGGGUCCUGACCGUGCCUGCAAGGUGGUUAAGGGAGAUGAAUAUGAGUAAAUAAAAUGAGUGUUUGUCUGAAACUGUGUUGGGGGAUUAAGCAUUGUGUUCUCCUUUUGAGGAGCAGCAUGCCAACUGGCAGGCCUUGGCUGACUACCUGGGCCGAGCAGAGAAAAGGAGAUGCUCACCCUUGUCGAAGAGAGGCCGGCUGCUUUGAAGGACACAGGGAGGCGAGCCUCUUCUCGCCCAGAAAAACCAGGUGCAGCUUCCUCAGCAGGGAAAGGUUAUGCUUCAUCUGACUUCGUUUUCUCUCUGCAAAUUAAAGGACAAUUUAUGAGUGUCUAGACAGGAAUUAAUCGGAAUAAUAUUGGCUGCUUUUGACCCGAGAGUGCUAUUACAAUAAAGUAUAUACAACACAAAUAUAGGACAAA
rnacentral:lncRNA from 1 species